GUCCCUAAACCCCCAAGGUACCUCCCAAUGUGAGAGGGGGAAAGGCUGGUUAAAAACCUCUCGCACCCGCCAGUCACUCACACAAACCCCAGCCCCACACGAGGCCGAGGCCCGUCUCCCAGGGGAAUUGGUAGCAGAGCUCGACGGUCCCGUGAGGAGACGCAGCCCGAGGGGACGAUGAGGCGUCUGUGGCUGGUGCUGCUGCUGGUUCUGGCGCUGGCCGGGGCUGCCCUGGCUGGGCCCGUCCUGCAGCAGCCGCGGGGCGUGGAGGGUCCCAGCGCGGUGGCAGCGCAUGAUGGGGCAUCAGCCCAGGUGGACGGAGCCCAAGAGCAGCCGCUGGGCGCGAGAGUGAGACGGGCCGUGCGGCGAACAUGGCGACCAGGCAGUUUCUCAGUCGUAGGCAUAGUCAUCAGAGGUGGAAUCUGGAAAGUGUGAACAGUCAUCGGCACCUCCGGUCUCUUCGCUCUGGCUGGGCCCAGACGGCCCCCCCGCCCCCACCUGUUCCCCGGCACUGCUGAGCUGUCAGCCAAGGUGACACGUCAGGAGUGCGCUUGCUGCUGGCUGCGGGGUACAGAAGCUCCCAGCCCCUGCUGAGCUCUACGGGCGGAGGCCACGACUGGGCCCUGUCGGUCGUGGGAGGCUCAUUCCCUCCAUGCCGGGCGAUGAAUCCGCUUUGAGCCUGGAGCUUCCCGUGUGUUUUGCAUUUAUUCACUUGCACCAAUAAAAGCAGGAACCUCU